rnacentral:misc_RNA from 1 species
GAAAUGCGAUAAGUAAUGUGAAUUGCAGAAUUCAGUGAAUCAUCGAAUCUUUGAACGCACAUUGCGCCCGUCAGCAUUCUGGCGGGCAUGCCUGUUCGAGCGUCAUUUCAACCCUCAGGACCCCCCUUUCGCGGGGAGGGAACUGGCGUUGGGGAUCGGCCCGCCCCCCGUGGCGGCGCCGUCCCCGAAAUCUAGUGGCGGUCUCGCUGCAGCCUCCCCUGCGUAGUAGUUACAACCUCGCAUCGGAGCGCGGCGCGGCCACGCCGUAAAACCCCCGACUUUCUGAACGUUGACCUCGGAUCAGGUAGGAAUACCCGCUGAACUUAAGC